CCCUAUUGGAAAGCCCAGCCACAGCGUUCUGCAGCUUAAAAACCUUCGCCCCGAAGACAGUAGACCGGCAACAAGGCAACCCUUUGAAGACAAAGGUCGGCGUCUAUGGCGUGUGGGAUGGGAAAUUGGGGACCUUAUUCCUCAAAACGUCGCAAAUCGUCGGAGAUCUCUGUCUUUGUUUUGCACCUAUCUCCUAGCAAUAAAGAAUUGGCUACUUGUGAGUCAUCACGGCCUUUACGUUUGACGAUUUCGAUAGCAUA